UUAAGACCUAACCGUGUGGCAGGCGCUGUGCAAAGGUCUUCAUCUAUAUUAACUUAUUUGAUUCUCCCAGCAACCCUGGCAAGUAUGUGAUGUUGCCUUACUGGUAAAACUAAGGGCUGGGCAGCGGAGGAACUCUGGCAGGAGUGAAGGGAAAGCCAGCCUUCUCCCUGGCCGGACGCCACGGACAGCACUCCUGACUGCUGAGCACACAACGACCCAGAUGGCUGCAGGGAAAGUCAGCCCCGUCUACACAGACCAGCACCUUACGAAGAAUGUUUCAGUCCUGGUCGAUAAAGACACCACUAAAGUUUUACCAACUGUCCAAAUGUCCUCAAGUCAAGGCAUAAACAACUAAAAAACUUGGGAAAAAUACAGAUUUAACAGUUUUUAGACAGUGGAUGAGAAGUAACACAAGACAGUAAGCCUGAGAGAGAAGGAAAAAAAAGGUAAGACCUGCGAUUGCCCAGCCCACGGCCUGGAGAGCCCAGAGAAGAGCCCUUCUCUUGUCUGAGAAGACAAGAGUUGGGAGCUCAGAGAGGCAAAGGGGCCGGAGGGCCCAGGACAGAUGAAGGGAAAGGACUGUGCAACACUAAGCCUUCAGAGCCCCUCACCCUGUCUUCAGCUGAGACCUGGUCAGCACAUCAUGGGCUAAGAUCACCCGGACCAGGGAGAAGCAAAUGGAGUACUCUCCAGAACUCACACAGGGCAGGGACAGCCUCCUCACUGGCCAGAGUGAAAGCCCUCCAUGAACACACAGGACAUCCUAACUAAGGGUGUCGCCUCAAUAGUGGGGCAAAAUGAGCCUAGAACAAGAGCUGCUUGGUGCCACCCUAACAAACACUGAAAGGAUGAAACCAUUUUCAAGUAACUUAACAGUAACAAACUUCCACAACGAAGUUCAAAAAAUGUUUCAUGAAUCAAAGAUACCUAGUAUCAAAUAAAGAAAAACUCACAAUGGCAGAUGUAUAGUAAAAAGUUACCAGGAUGGCAAAUAAGAAAGAAAAUACAAUCCAUCAUGGGGAGAAGAAUAAGCCAUUAAAAGUCAAAUAAAAUGACACUGAUUAGUACACAAGAAUACUGUCUACUGAAAAAGACUAACGUAGAAUAACAAGAUUCUGUGUGUUCAAGAUGGGAAAACAUGAAAAUGUUGAGGGGAGACUAGAAGACUUUUUAAAGACAAAAUCAAAGACCUAGGGACAAAAAUGCAAUGUCUUAUAUAUUAAAAAAAAAAAAUCUCAGAGGAUAGAAUUAAUAGCACAUUUUGAAGAUAUAUCAACUGAAACAAAUGAGAAUGAAACACAGCGGGUGUCAACAGAGAACCAGUGAGCUAUGAACAACUUUGAGCAGCUUAAUAGACACACAGCUGAGUCUCCAAAGGAGAAGAUAAAGAAGAAAGGGUAGAAAAGCAUGUCUGAGAAAAUAGGAACCAAAAAAUUCCAGGUUUAGCAAAAACUUAUUCUUAAAAUAAAAACUAUUUAAAAAACAUGACACCAAGCCACACAUCAUGAUCAACAUUCUUACACACUUUAAUAAAGAAAAAUCACUUAAAAGCAGCCAGGAAAAAAAAUGAAGACUUUUGGAGAGAGGAGUACAGCUAAGAAUGACAGCAGACUUUUCAUUGGAAACAAUACAAGAGAAAUAAGUGGAACAACCUCUAUAUUUUUUAAAAGAAAUCUGCAGACCUAGUGAAAAUAUCUUCCAAACAUCAAAGCAAAAAGAAGGAAUUUUCAGAUGUAUAUAAACUGAUAUGGGAAGAGCAUGGUGGUCCUCAAAAAUUAAAAACAGAAUUACUAUAUGAUCUGCAAUAUCAGUUCUAGGUAUAGACUCCAAAAAUGUGGAAAUGGGAACUUGGACAGAUACUUGUAUAUCCAUGUUCAAAGCAGCAUUACUCAAAAGACCCAAAAUCUGGAAGCUACUCAAGCUUUCAUUAAUGGAUGAAUGGGAAAACAAAAUGUGGUAUAGGCAUACAACGGAAUAUUUUUCAGCCUUGAAAAGAAAGGAAAACAUGACAAUAUAGACGAACCUCAAUGACACUGUGCUAAGUGAAAUAAGUUAGUCACAAAAAGAAAUACCGUAUGAUCCCCCUUAUGAGGUUCUUAGAGAAAUCAAAUCCCUAGAGACAAAAACAGAAUGGUGGUUGCCUGAGACAGACCGAAGUGGGCACAGGCAGUUGUUUAAUGGGUAGCAAGUUUCAGUUUUGCAAGAUGAGUUCUGGACUUGGCUUCACAAAUGUCAAUGCACUGAACCUGACAGAACUGUUCAAUUAAAAUUAGUGAAGAUGCUAAAUUUCAUGUUACAUGUAUAUUUCACUACAUUAAAAAAAUAAAUAAAAUGAGGUUUUCAAAAAAUAAAAAGCUACAAGGAUUCGUUAGCAGCAGACAUUCACUACAAGAACUGUGAGAGAAGACUAAUGCACAAAAGACAAGAAAGGUCAUACACCAGGAGGUAACAACAAUGAAACUCAACAUGGGCUCCCAGUUGAAUCCUAGAAUGGAAGAAGGACAUUAGGGGGAAAACGUGGACUUUCUGUGAGCUAUCGCUUAGUUAAUAGUAUUAUAUCCAUGUUAAUUACACUAAGUAAAUGUUAGCAUUAAAGAAAGCUGGAUGUAAA